rnacentral:rRNA from 3 species
UCGCUAAGGGAUGGCCCCGCGGUGCAUUAGCUAGUUGGUAAGGUAACGGCUUACCAAGGCGACGAUGCAUAGCCGAGUUGAGAGACUGAUCGGCCACAUUGGGACUGAGACACGGCCCAAACUCCUACGGGAGGCAGCAGUAGGGAAUCUUCCACAAUGGACGCAAGUCUGAUGGAGCAACGCCGCGUGAGUGAAGAAGGUUUUCGGAUCGUAAAGCUCUGUUGUUGGUGAAGAAGGAUAGAGGUAGUAACUGGCCUUUAUUUGACGGUAAUCAACCAGAAAGUCACGGCUAACUACGUGCCAGCAGCCGCGGUAAUACGUAGGUGGCAAGCGUUGUCCGGAUUUAUUGGGCGUAAAGCGAGCGCAGGCGGAAAAAUAAGUCUAAU